rfam:Calypte anna contig97124, whole genome shotgun sequence.
AAGGCUCUUUUAAGAGCCACCCAUUUUUUCAGAAAAAGAGCUG